rnacentral:rRNA from 1 species
GACGAACGCUGGCGGCGUGCUUAACACAUGCAAGUCGAACGAUGAAACCUAGCUUGCUAGGUCGAUUAGUGGCGAACGGGUGAGUAACACGUGACUAACCUGCCCCUUUCUCUGGGAUAACGCUCCGAAAGGAGUGCUAAUACCGGAUACUCACAUCGAGGCACAUGCCUUGGUGUGGAAAGUUUUUCGGAAAGGGAUGGAGUCGCGGCCUAUCAGCUUGUUGGUGAGGUAACGGCUCACCAAGGCGACGAAGGGUAGCCGGCCUGAGAGGGCGACCGGCCACACUGGGACUGAGACACGGCCCAGACUCCGACGGGAGGCAGCGGUGGGGAAUAUUGCACAAUGGGCGCAAGCCUGAUGCAGCGACGCCGCGUGAGGGAUGAAGGUCUUCGGAUUGUAAACCUCUUUCAGUAGGGACGAAGCGAAAGUGACGGUACCUAAAGAAGAAGCACCGGCUAACUACGUGCCAGCCGCCGCAGUAA